CUGGCCAGGACACAGGGCUGUGGGUGGCGGGGCCUGCCUCAGCCUCAGCCCUGCACACCGUGCUCAACCCUCAUUCACCCCGAGAACCAGUGAGCUGGGGAGCUGCAGCAUGAUUGAUGGGCCCCAGCUUGAAUGGAAAGUCCAGAUCCCAGGGAGACAGCUUAAGAGACACAGAGCACAGUGGGAAGUGAAACCACCCACGGGAAUCCAGCAACAGAAACGUCCCCACACCGGGCAGCCAGCGAUGGCAGAUGGAGUCAGGCCAGACAGAGACUGGAUGGUCACCGAAAGUCAUGGGCACGGGGAAGUCCGGCGCUGGAGGGAGGACAGUAAAGCAACCUCUUCCUAAAGAUGCAGACCCGGGAGAAGUCUGUGGCACAGAUAGGAGGGGUGAUUUGCCCAAGGUCACACAACUAAAAAGCGGCUGAACAUCUUUGUCUUCUUAACCAACUUCCUAUAUCCACUGAAGAGCGUGAGACCUCCAUGACACAUUUCCAUAGUUGGGUGCUUCAUUCCUGUACAUCAUCUUAUGAUAUCAUCAGCAAUGACAACUCUAUGAGACAGGACCCGCAGACUGGCCUGGACAUGCUCCUCUCAUGGCAACGAAAGCACAAGUGGAAAUCCUGGAGGUUUAAUGGGACAAGUGAAUUACAUGGCCAAGCCCGAAGGCAAAAGGCUGGGAAAAAGGACCUGCAAAGUUACUGGGCAAAGACUGCUGAGACAGUAAAAGGAUGCAGAAUCGGGGCCAAAAACACAAUCUACCAUAUUCUCUCCCUUCCCCAAAUCUCCCCCCACAGACCUUUGACAUGGCUUACAAUCCCGCUCUUAAGACUAUGUCUUUGCAUUCAGAUAGUGUCUGCAUAAGGUCCUUGGGAAGGGGAGGACAUUAUGCCCAGCUCCUUAACUCUCCAGCAGCAUUGGCGGUUCGCAGACAAAAGGGGUUCCUAGAGGAUGGGGCCCAGGACCGAGGCAUCUUGCAGUGGAAGGUGGACCACAACAAUCGGGGUGAGCUGGUGUCACCGGCCCUUCAUCCCUACCUGCCCUUAUUUUGCCUAUGUUGGGAGACAGCUACAGAAAUUCUUCAUCUGCCCCAGGAAACGUUCCAUUAUUUGAGCGGCUAGAAAAUUCUUAGGUUGGAAACAUGCAGAACACAGCAGUAAACUCUGUAGGAAACACAUCCUCGGCUUCUCAGUGAUGUCAGAAUGUUUGUCUCUUU